GACGUAGGGCGCGAGCGUUGUCCGGAUUUAUUGGGCGUAAAGAGCUCGUAGGCGGCUUGUCGCGUCGUUCGUGAAAACCUGCAGCUCAACUGCAGGCUUGCGGUCGAUACGGGCAGGCUAGAGUUCGGUAGGGGAGACUGGAAUUCCUGGUGUAGCGGUGAAAUGCGCAGAUAUCAGGAGGAACACCGGUGGCGAAAGCGGCUUCCUGGUCCAGCACCGACGUUCAGGCACGAAAGCGUGGGGAGCAAACAGG
rnacentral:rRNA from 1 species